GGCGAACGCUGGCGGCGUGCUUAACACAUGCAAGUCGAGCGGUAAGGCCCUUUCGGGGGUACACGAGCGGCGAACGGGUGAGUAACACGUGGGUGACCUGCCCUCAGCUCUGGGAUAAGCCCGGGAAACUGGGUCUAAUACCGGAUAUGACUUCAUGACGCAUGUUGUGGAGUGGAAAGCCUUGUGCGGCUGAGGAUGGGCCCGCGGCCUAUCAGCUUGUUGGUGGGGGAUGGCCUACCAAGGCGACGACGGGUAGCCGGCCUGAGAGGGCGACCGGCCACACUGGGACUGAGAUACGGCCCAGACUCCUACGGGAGGCAGCAGGUGGGGAAUCUUGCGCAAGUGGGACGAAAGCCUGACGCAGCGACGCCGCGUGA
rnacentral:rRNA from 1 species